rnacentral:rRNA from 1 species
UACGUAGGUGGCGAGCGUUGUCCGGAUUUAUUGGGCGUAAAGCGCGCGCAGGCGGUUCGCUCCGUCCGGUGUGAAAUCUCCCGGCUCACCUGGGAGGGGGCGCUGGAGACUGGCGAACUGGAGGCAGGGAGAGGUCGGUGGAAUUCCCGGUGUAGUGGUGAAAUGCGUAGAGAUCGGGAGGAACACCCGUGGCGAAGGCGGAUCUCUGGGCCGAUACUGACGCUGAGGAGCGAAAGCGUGGGGAGCGAACAGG